UACGUAGGGUGCAAGCGUUGUCCGGAAUUAUUGGGCGUAAAGAGCUCGUAGGCGGUCUGUCGCGUCGGCUGUGAAAUCCCGAGGCUCAACCUCGGGCUUGCAGUGGGUACGGGCAGGCUAGAGUGCGGUAGGGGAGAAUGGAACUCCUGGUGUAGCGGUGGAAUGCGCAGAUAUCAGGAAGAACACCGAUGGCGAAGGCAGUUCUCUGGGCCGUAACUGACGCUGAGGAGCGAAAGCGUGGGGAGCGAACAGG
rnacentral:rRNA from 1 species